GCCUCUAUUCGCAAUCCCUAAUUCCCAUUCACACUUUUGCAUUUCAACCCCUUCUUAAAAAUAAAAAAAAACCUUCAAAUUCUCAGAACUCACACUUCUCCCCAUAUCCAUCUCUAGCUCGAUUGCCCUCACCGUCCUCCUCCCCAUCUCAUCGCCCUCACCAUUCCCUACCUCACUGCCCUCCUAUAAAUUCUCAGAACUCGCAUUUCCCCUCUCAUCACCCUCACUGCCCUCCUCCCAUCUCCUUCACCGCCUUCGUCCUUCCCUCCCUCUCCACCACCUCCUCCAUCCCAACCUUCAUCACCAACCCUCUAAAGCUCCACCCACUACCUUUAAUCAUUCCAUACAUCAACACCAGGCACACUUCCUCAUCCAUUCCCUUCUUCGUCAUCUUUACCGACACCGCCACCGGCCCGACAUCCAUCAUCGUGCCCUCCUUUCCCCCGCUCUGUCAAUUAUGCCAUCAUCAACAAUUGAAGCAAUUUUCAGUGGUGACAUGUGCUCCAAGAUCAGAUGUUUUGUAUGGGGUUUGACAAAAUGUCUAGCACAGACAGCUAGUGAAACCUUUGAUACUUUUGAUGGAUCUGUUGGAAGUGAUGCAACAAAAACAACAUGUUUUGAUGGAAGUGUUCACCCUCUGACUCGCUAUGUGAAGUACCUUUUUGGAAUCUACUUCAGGUUGUGGAGGUCCUCUCUACAAAGGAUCUAACAUUCCCAGGUGGUGAUAAUAGCAUAGACCAAAGCAAUCACAGGCUCAUUGUCUCAAAAAUUGUAGUUAAAAAUAGGACUCAUCUCAGACGAACCAAAAACAAAAAAAUUCUCUUCUUGUUCUCCUUUGCGUUACAGUUAGUCCUGGAAAAAGUAGAGCAAUCUAUGCGUUCCCAAGGAACUUCUCUGUUUGAUUGGAUAGAAUUUUUCCCCACUGGUUUUUUCACGUAAGACAUAAUCUGAUUCUGGAUUCAGAUUUAUAUCUUCUUCAUUUAGAGAUAUAUAGCUGGACUACUUGCUGAGAGACAAAAAUUGGGACUAUUGCGCAAGUUCUGCCAUUUCGUAGCCAGCUUCUGAAUGUUCAUAUCAAAGCUCAUGCAAGGUUGAUCAGCAAAAAAAGAACAACACAUAGGUAGACCAAGAGGUAGACAUAUUCAAUGGCUCAUUAACAUGCCGCUUUUAAUGUCAAAAUGAAGUUACUCAUGAAGGUACCAGAAAGCCCCUAAAGAUCUAAUGAAGAACUAAAAAAUGAACAUCCUUUGCAACUGAAUUCUUGAAAUAAUUUAUCACAUUUUACGCUACUAAUUAAGGACUAACAUUUUGAGUUUGCCGAUCGAGGAAAAUAACUUAUUAUAAAAUAAUGAGGUUACUCAGAAAUCUAACAGAAAGCCCCUAAUGAUCUAAUGAAGAAUGAAAGAAUGAUCUAUGGCCUAAUUAGCAGUGUAAAAUGGAACCAAAAAUCAUUGUUUAUACAUUUAGCACCAAAAAUUUCAAUUUGAUAGUUUUUAUCUCAUACAUAUGUUUGCCUAGUCUUCAGCAAAUCCUACAAGCAGGGGGAAAAAUAUCAUUCAAAAACAUAGAUAGCAAUUUUAGAAGAAUUUGUUGUCUUUGAUUGUCCAAUUGAAUUAUCAUGGUUAAAUAAAGUGACACAUAGGUUCGGCAAAAUACCAUCUACUAGAGUAGAUCCUGUAUCAGCAGGAAUCUCAAAGCUUAUAUUCUCAUGUCUUUCAUUGUUUAUUGAAGCUGAACAAUUUGGAUGUGUAAAUGUGAAUACCUGACAAAGCACACACAUGUGCUCACACAAAAACAAAAAAUAAAUAAUAAUGGUGAUUUAGAAUACAGUCGAUGUGAGAAAUUAGAUGGAUUACAAAAACAUAUGAGUAAAUGUGAAUACCUGGUUCAUAGUAUUUAUGAGAAUUAAUUAGGUGCCAAUAACAGUUAGCAAAUAAUUAAAGCAACAUAUGAUAUUUGUUUUGGUUUUUUUUUUUUUGAAGAAAGGACCCCAAACAUAGGGGUAAUUUAUUAAAAGAGAAAAUAAAGAAAACACGAGAAAUCAAAAAAAACACAGGCUAACAAGGCCCUAGAAGCUGCACAAACAUCCAUACUUAAAAUACAAAACAAGAUCUAGAGAAGCUCUUCAUUAACCAGUGUGGUAAAUCUCGCCCGUACAGGAAUAAAUUAAGAGUUGAGUGGUUAAAUCCUUGAACUACAAGCUUGAUGGCAGGGGACAUCAAAGAUCUUGGGAUAUCAUAAAUUCUGAUGGAGCCGUGCAUGUCUAGAAGGAAUCGUAGAAUGGAAAUAUGAGAAUUAAAGAGCCAAGUUGUAGUAGAAUCCAGAUUCCUGGUGAAUGUUGAAGCUGUUGGAUUAUCAUUGAAGAUCACUAAAAGAAUUAAGAUUUUUAGUGACAAUUUUUUUUAUGUC